AUAGCUGGUUCUCUCCGAAAUAGCUUUAGGGCUAGCCUCAAGUGAUGAUUAUUGGAGGUAGAGCACUGUUUGGACGAGGGGCCCCUCUCGGGUUACCGAAUUCAGACAAACUCCGAAUGCCAAUUAAUUUAACUUGGGAGUCAGAACAUGGGUGAUAAGGUCCGUGUUCGAAAGGGAAACAGCCCAGACCACCAGCUAAGGUCCCAAAAUAUAUGUUAAGUGGAAAAGGAUGUGGCGUUGCCCAGACAACUAGGAUGUUGGCUUAGAAGCAGCCAUCAUUUAAAGAGUGCGUAAUAGCUCACUAGUCGAGUGACACUGCGCCGAAAAUGUACCGGGGCUAAACAUAUUACCGAAGCUGUGGAUUGUCCUUUGGACAAUGGUAGGAGAGCGUUCUAAGGGCGUUGAAGCAUGAUCGUAAGGACAUGUGGAGCGCUUAGAAGUGAGAAUGCCGGUGUGAGUAGCGAAAGACGGGUGAGAAUCCCGUCCACCGAUUGACUAAGGUUUCCAGAGGAAGGCUCGUCCGCUCUGGGUUAGUCGGGUCCUAAGCUGAGGCCGACAGGCGUAGGCGAUGGAUAACAGGUUGAUAUUCCUGUACCACCUAUAAUCGUUUUAAUCGAUGGGGGGACGCAGUAGGAUAGGCGAAGCGUGCGAUUGGAUUGCACGUCUAAGCAGUAAGGCUGAGUAUUAGGCAAAUCCGGUACUCGUUAAGGCUGAGCUGUGAUGGGGAGAAGACAUUGUGUCUUCGAGUCGUUGAUUUCACACUGCCGAGAAAAGCCUCUAGAUAGAAAAUAGGUGCCCGUACCGCAAACCGACACAGGUAGUCAAGAUGAGAAUUCUAAGGUGAGCGAGCGAACUCUCGUUAAGGAACUCGGCAAAAUGACCCCGUAACUUCGGGAGAAGGGGUGCUCUUUAGGGUUAACGCCCAGAAGAGCCGCAGUGAAUAGGCCCAAGCGACUGUUUAUCAAAAACACAGGUCUCUGCUAAACCGUAAGGUGAUGUAUAGGGGCUGACGCCUGCCCGGUGCUGGAAGGUUAAGAGGAGUGGUUAGCUUCUGCGAAGCUACGAAUCGAAGCCCCAGUAAACGGCGGCCGUAACUAUAACGGUCCUAAGGUAGCGAAAUUCCUUGUCGGGUAAGUUCCGACCCGCACGAAAGGCGUAACGAUUUGGGCACUGUCUCAACGAGAGACUCGGUGAAAUCAUAGUACCUGUGAAGAUGCAGGUUACCCGCGACAGGACGGAAAGACCCCGUGGAGCUUUACUGUAGCCUGAUAUUGAAAUUCGGCACAGCUUGUACAGGAUAGGUAGGAGCCUUUGAAACGUGAGCGCUAGCUUACGUGGAGGCGCUGGUGGGAUACUACCCUAGCUGUGUUGGCUUUCUAACCCGCACCACUUAUCGUGGUGGGAGACAGUGUCAGGCGGGCAGUUUGACUGGGGCGGUCGCCUCCUAAAAGGUAACGGAGGCGCUCAAAGGUUCCCUCAGAAUGGUUGGAAAUCAUUCAUAGAGUGUAAAGGCAUAAGGGAGCUUGACUGCGAGACCUACAAGUCGAGCAGGGUCGAAAGACGGACUUAGUGAUCCGGUGGUUCCGCAUGGAAGGGCCAUCGCUCAACGGAUAAAAGCUACCCCGGGGAUAACAGGCUUAUCUCCCCCAAGAGUUCACAUCGACGGGGAGGUUUGGCACCUCGAUGUCGGCUCAUCGCAUCCUGGGGCUGUAGUCGGUCCCAAGGGUUGGGCUGUUCGCCCAUUAAAGCGGUACGCGAGCUGGGUUCAGAACGUCGUGAGACAGUUCGGUCCCUAUCCGUCGUGGGCGUAGGAAAUUUGAGAGGAGCUGUCCUUAGUACGAGAGGACCGGGAUGGACAUACCUCUGGUGUACCAGUUGUCGUGCCAACGGCAUAGCUGGGUAGCUAUGUGUGGACGGGAUAAGUGCUGAAAGCAUCUAAGCAUGAAGCCCCCCUCAAGAUGAGAUUUCCCAACUUCGGUUAUAAGAUCCCUCAAAGAUGAUGAGGUUAAUAGGUUCGAGGUGGAAGCAUGGUGACAUGUGGAGCUGACGAAUACUAAUCGAUCGAAGACUUAAUCAA
rnacentral:rRNA from 1 species